rnacentral:lncRNA from 1 species
UGCUCUCAUUCUGGGGUAAAAAAAGGCGAAAAUGGUUAAAAGCAUCUCAGCACAUCCAUAGACACGUCCAAAAUUUGCUCUUCUGUCUCUACGUCCAUCAGUGGGCGUCAUCUUCAGGUGGUGGGAACCCAAAAACACGUCUCAACGUCAACGUUGGCCAUCCCAACGUCCAUUUCUACUCAAAAAACCCUAAAUCACCCCAAAAUUGGUCAUCCCAAAAUCCACUUCUAUAUGCCAAGACCCCAAAACCAGGUCUUACCUCAAAAUUGGUCAUCCCAACACCUAUUUCUAUACCCCAAGACCCCAAAAACGCGUCUCAACGUCAACGUUGGCCAACCCAACGUCCAUUUCUACCCAAAAUAUCCCCCAAAAAACCAAAUCACCUCAAAAUUGAUCAUCCCCAAACCCAUUUCUACACCCCAAGACACCAAAACCACGUUCUCACCUCAAAAUUGGUCAUCCCAACACCCAUUUCUACCCAGAAGACCCCAAAAAUGCAUCUCAACGUCAACAUUGGGCGUCCCAACGCCCAUUUCUACCCAAAAAACCCUAAAUCACCCCAAAAUUGGUCAUCCCCAAACCCAUUUCUACACCCCAAGACCCCAAAACCACGUCUUACCUCAAAAUUGGUCAUCCCAACGCACAUUUCUACCCCCAAAAACCCCCAAAACGCGUCUCAAUGUCAACGUUGGCCAUCCCAACACCCAUUUCUACCCCCAAAAAAAACCAAAAAACCCAAAUCACCUCAAAAUUGUUCAUCCCAAAACCCAUUUCUACAUUCCAAGACCCCAAAACCACAUCCUCACCUCAAAAUUGGUCAUCCCAACACCCAUUUCUACCCCCAAAAACCCCAAAAACACGUCUCCACGUCAACGUUGGCCAUCCCAACGCCCAUUUCUACCCCCAAAAACCCCAAAACCACGUCUCCACGUCAACGUUGGCCAUCCCAACGCCCAUUUCUACCCCCAAAAACCCCAAAACCACAUCCCAACGUCAACGUUGGCCAACCCAACGCCCAUUUCUACCCCCAAAAGUCCCCAAAAAAACCCCAAAUCACCUCAAAAUUGGUCAUCCCAAAACCCAUUUCUACACCCCAAGACCCCAAAACCACGUCUUACCUCAAAAUUGAUCAUCCCAAAACCUAUUUCUACCCCCAAAAACCCAUCUCAACGUCAACGUUGGCCAACCCAACGCCCGUUUCUACCCCAAAAACCCCCCAAAAACCCUAAAUCACCUCAAAAUUGGUCAUCCCAAAACCCAUUUCUACACCCCAAGACCCCAAAAACGCGUCUCAACGUCAACGUUGGCCAUCCCAACACCCAUUUCUACCCAAAAAACCCUAAAUCACCCCAAAAUUGGUCAUCCCAAAACCCAUUUCUAUACGCCAAGACCCCAAAACCACAUCUUACCUCAAAAUUGGCCAUCCCAAAACCUAUUUCUACCCCCAAAACCACGUCCCAAUGUCAAUGUUGGCCACCCCAACACCCGUUUCUACCACCAAAACCCCCCCAAAAAAACAAAUCAGCUCAAAAUUGGUCAUCCCAAAACCCACUUCUAUACACCAAGACCCCAAAACCCCAUCUCGCCUCAAAAUUGGUCAUCCCAACACCUAUUUCUACCCAGAAGAUCCCAAAAACGCAUCUCAACGUCAACGUUGGCUAUCCCAAAACCCAUUUCUACCCCAAAAACCCCAAAAAACCCUAAAUCAACUCAAAAUUGGUCAUCCCAAAACCCAUUUCUACACCCCAAGACCCCAAAAUAACAUUCUCAACUCAACUUUGGUCAUGCGAAAACCCAUUUCUACCCCCAAAAACAUGUCUCAACGUCAACGUUGGCCAACCCAACGCCCGUUUCUACCCCAAAAACCCCCCAAAACCCUAAAUCACCUCAUAAUUGGUCAUCCCAAAACCCAUUUCUACCCCAAAAACCCUAAAUCACCUCAACGUUGACCAUCCCAAAACCCAUUUCUACCCCCAAAACCCCAAAAAACCCCAUCUUACCUCAACGUUGGC